rnacentral:rRNA from 1 species
AUUGAACGCUGGCGGCAGGCCUAACACAUGCCAGUCGAGCGGAGAGGCGGACGGGUGGGUAAUGCCUAGGAAUCCGCCUGGUAGUGGGGGAUAAGGUACGGAAACGGGCGCUAAUACAGCAUACUAUAGGAUGAGCAUAGGUCGGAGUAGUUAGUUGGUGGGGUAAAGGCCUACCAAGGCGACGAUCCGUAACUGGUUUGAGAGGAGGAUCAGUCAAACUGGAACUGAGACACGGCCCAGACUCCUACGGGCGGAAGCAGUGGGGAAUAUUGGCCAAUGGGCGAAAGCCUGAUCCAGCCAUGCCGCUUGUGGGAAGAAGGUCUUCGGAUUGUAAAGCCCUUUAAGUUGGGAGGCGGUACCAACAGAAUAAGCACCGGCUAACUUCGUGCCAGCAGCCGCGGUAAUUC